rnacentral:misc_RNA from 1 species
UGCAAAUUUAUCAACAUUUAUACACUAAUGAGGAGCUAAAGAACACUGUAAUCUAAUAGUGCUACGUAAUGUGCUUUCUACAUCUCUCUAGCAGAUCAUUGUUGUAUCAAUCCUGCCAUUUGUUUUGCAACUUUGUAUUUGGACUUUCAUUUUUGAUUUAUUUUACUCAUUAUGGAAAAAUUCUAUAAAGAAACUAAAGUGUUCUCCAUGAAUAUUGAAAGAUAUUAAAAAAAGUCUUUUCUUUUAAA